GGGGGCGACUUGGCUUCGACAGGGUCGGGGGACUAUUGACGGCAUGCCGAGAUUCCAGUUAUCUCGUUAAACCCUGGAAAAACAAACAAACGACAAUGAGCAAUACGCUCUCGCUGCCUAAAUAAGAGGUAGCGCGUUCCGCGGGGAGCGGGGCCCCAGGCCCUCCGCAGGAGCGACGUUUUCUGGAGCCUGGUCCGGAGCCUGGUCUCUUGGCGAAGGACGAGAUUUGACAGAGACUAGCCUCUCGCUCAGCCUGUUGCCGAGCUAGGCGCGGGGUUAAAUUGAUCGGCGACUAAGCAUGUAGAUGUCGGUAGGGUACCGGCUUUGGACGCGGGUUCGAUUCCCGCCGCCUCCACCA
rnacentral:tmRNA from 1 species